UGGAUUUAUUCCCCGAUUCUCUGGCACCUCCAGGGUUUUGGGGGAGCGUAUCUUGCUCACAGACCCAGAUGAACACGUCUGUCUGAUAAAAGUCCCGGAUUCAGGCGACUCUAGUUUUUUUUUCACCCCAAUUUCUGAUUUUUUGAAGCAGAAUAAUAUCCACACUAUCGUCUAGGUGAUGGGCUGGAAGAUGCAUCAUGAGCUGUUCUGGAAUAAGAUCAUCCUUGAUCGUCACUGGAGAAAAUGAGACGUUCCAUUAACAGCAAGGAAACAGCAGGCCUGGGCAGCUUGGAGCCCAGGACGUCUGUCUACAUCCAUCACCAGGAAGCUUAUUGCAGUAUUGUGCAAUUUGGCCCUAAUUCUGCAGCACUCGAGAAAAUCAGACAGACCUUAAUGGAACUUUUAUAAUGUUCAAAGCUUCAAAGAUGAGCCACUUGUACCCCUGCCAUGGAUGAGCUCACAGUUCCAAUGGAGAAGACACAGGUAAGAGAUUACAGCGCAGGUGGUUAGUGUAGCUGAGGAGGGGCUGUGGAAUAUUGAAGGAGUUCAAGUACAUUGAGAAAGGGAUUAUAGAUGGGGUACCUUUUGACCUGGAACUUUCAGCAGGAGUAAUAAGCCUAAUUCUCUAAACACUCUCUAUUUUUAGUAUAUGUGCUGCCGAAACAAGCACUAAACACUGUUUUUUGCAAUGGAAAUUUCUUUGCACAAGGUAGCAUUCCAUUUGUUUUGUUCAAUAAAGUAAACACUUGUUCAGUAAAUGAAUGACAGCAGUGAAUGAUGACUCUCUGGAAUUAUAUUUCUAAUUCCGAAAAAUAUCUUAGUUUUUUUUCCUUUCUUUUUCCCACUUUAACAUCAAUACUCAAGAACUUUGCUUAAUCACAACGUUACAUAAAUUGGCCAGCAGAGGGCACUGCAUACUGACAGUGCCUCCACUGCUUAUAUCUUCAAAUGCUUGAGAUGUGAUAACUGUGUUAACUUGGGUGUGUUUGCAAGUGCCUUGCAACUGUUUCAGAGAAAAAUAUGUCAGAAAUUAAAAGAAGCGUGUGAAUAAAGAAAUUAGAUAAAUGGUGUAAUUGAUUUCUCUUUGUUGAUAAAGAGGAAACACGUCUGUAUGUAAUGAAUGUAGCUUAUUAUCAAUUAAGAGAAGGUAAUAUGAUAAUAUUACCUCCCUGUAUAAAUUGGCAUGACUUCUAAAUU
rnacentral:lncRNA from 1 species